GCAUGACUUUUAUACCAAAGGAGCAAUCCGCUAUGAGAUGGACCCGCGGCGCAUUAGCUAGUUGGUGAGGUAAAGGCUCACCAAGGCGACGAUGCGUAGCCGACCUGAGAGGGUGAUCGGCCACAUUGGAACUGAGACACGGUCCAGACUCCUACGGGAGGCAGCAGUGGGGAAUAUUGCGCAAUGGGGGAAACCCUGACGCAGCAACGCCGCGUGAAUGAAGAAGGCCUUAGGGUUGUAAAGUUCUGUCAUAUGGGAAGAUAAUGACGGUACCAUAUGAGGAAGCCACGGCUAACUACGUGCCAGCAGCCGCGGUAAUACGUAGGUGGCAAGCGUUGUCCGGAUUUACUGGGCGUAAAGGAUGCGUAGGCGGACAUUUAAGUCAGAUGUGAAAUACCCGAGCUCAACUUGGGUGCUGCAUUUGAAACUGGGUGUCUAGAGUGCAGGAGAGGAAAGCGGAAUUCCUAGUGUAGCGGUGAAAUGCGUAGAGAUUAGGAAGAACACCAGUGGCGAAGGCGGCUUUCUGGACUGUAACUGACGCUGAGGCAUGAAAGCGUGGGGAGCAAACAGGAUUAGAUACCCUGGUAGUCCACGC
rnacentral:rRNA from 1 species